AUUGAACGCUGGCGGCAGGCUUAACACAUGCAAGUCGAGCGGAGAGAGGUAGCUUGCUACUGAUCUUAGCGGCGGACGGGUGAGUAAUGCUUAGGAAUCUGCCUAUUAGUGGGGGACAACAUUUCGAAAGGAAUGCUAAUACCGCAUACGUCCUACGGGAGAAAGCAGGGGAUCUUCGGACCUUGCGCUAAUAGAUGAGCCUAAGUCGGGUUAGCUAGUUGGUGGGGUAAAGGCCUACCAAGGCGACGAUCUGUAGCGGGUCUGAGAGGAUGAUCCGCCACACUGGGACUGAGACACGGCCCAGACUCCUACGGGAGGAAGCAGUGGGGAAUAUUGGACAAUGGGCGCAAGCCUGAUCCAGCCAUGCCGCGUGUGUGAAGAAGGCCUUAUGGUUGUAAAGCACUUUAAGCGAGGAGGAGGCUACUUUAGUUAAUACCUAGAGAUAGUGGACGUUACUCGCAGAAUAAGCACCGGCUAACUCUGUGCCAGCCGCCGCCGUAA
rnacentral:rRNA from 1 species